rnacentral:misc_RNA from 1 species
UAGUUUUGAAGAGUCCUCGAGCCGUAAGCCCCCACUUUGUAAUCUGUUUGUCUGCGAGUUUCAACUUGUAAUUUUGUUUAUGCAGACUUCAUAUUUAUGAUUUCUAUCACUGUCAGCAUUUGAUCAAACAUCAUAUGAUGUAAGCACUGAAACAAAAUGACUUGGUUUUUGGUGACAAGGAAUGAAACAAGUAUGUUCACUUUUGUAGGGGAUAGCAAGGCGAUUGGUGCAG